UACAGAGGUCCCAAGCGUUGUUCGGAUUCACUGGGCGUAAAGGGUGCGCAGGCGGUCGGGUAAGUCUGAUGUGAAAUCUCACAGCUUAACUGUGAAACUGCAUUGGAUACUAUUCGGCUUGAGAGUUGGAGGGGGGACUGGAAUUCUCGGUGUAGCAGUGAAAUGCGUAGAUAUCGAGAGGAACACCAGUGGCGAAGGCGAGUCCCUGGACAACUUCUGACGCUGAGGCACGAAAGCUAGGGGAGCAAACAGG
rnacentral:rRNA from 1 species